rnacentral:rRNA from 1 species
AGUGAACGCUGGCGGUAGGCCUAACACAUGCAAGUCGAACGGCAGCACAGUAAGAGCUUGCUCUUACGGGUGGCGAGUGGCGGACGGGUGAGGAAUACAUCGGAAUCUACUUUUUCGUGGGGGAUAACGUAGGGAAACUUACGCUAAUACCGCAUACGACCUACGGGUGAAAGCAGGGGAUCUUCGGACCUUGCGCGAUUGAAUGAGCCGAUGUCGGAUUAGCUAGUUGGCGGGGUAAAGGCCCACCAAGGCGACGAUCCGUAGCUGGUCUGAGGGGAUGGAACGCCAAACUGGAAAGAGAGAACGGUCCAGACUCCUACGGGAGGCAGCAGUGGGGAAUAUUGGACAAUGGGCGCAAGCCUGAUCCAGCCAUACCGCGUGGGUGAAGAAGGCCUUCGGGUUGUAAAGCCCUUUUGUUGGGAAAGAAAAGCAGCAGGUUAAUACCCCGCUGUUCUGACGGUACCCAAAGAAUAAGCACCGGCUAACUUCGUG